GCCCAUUGCUAGGGGUCUGCUGCAUCGGUUAAAACGGUGUGCGCAGUGAGAAAAACCCUUUGAACCUGAUGCGGGUGAUGCCGCCGUAGGAAAGCACGUAUGUUCCCAU
rnacentral:ncRNA from 2 species